UACGUAGGGGGCGAGCGUUGUCCGGAUUCAUUGGGCGUAAAGAGCUCGUAGGCGGCUUGGCAAGUCGGGUGUGAAAACUCCAGGCUCAACCUGGAGACGCCACCCGAUACUGCCAUGGCUUGAGUCCGGUAGGGGACCACGGAAUUCCUGGUGUAGCGGUGAAAUGCGCAGAUAUCAGGAGGAACACCAGUGGCGAAGGCGGUGGUCUGGGCCGGCACUGACGCUGAGGAGCGAAAGCGUGGGGAGCGAACAGG
rnacentral:rRNA from 1 species